rnacentral:tRNA from 1 species
GGCACAGUGGCUAAGCUAGCACUCGGCUGCUAACUGAAAGUUUGUUGGUUCGAACCCACCCAGUGGCU